GACGAACGCUGGCGGCGUGCUUAACACAUGCAAGUCGAACGGAAAGGCCCUGCUUUUGUGGGGUGCUCGAGUGGCGAACGGGUGAGUAACACGUGAGUAACCUGCCCUUGACUUUGGGAUAACUUCAGGAAACUGGGGCUAAUACCGGAUAGGAGCUCCUGCUGCAUGGUGGGGGUUGGAAAGUUUCGGCGGUUGGGGAUGGACUCGCGGCUUAUCAGCUUGUUGGUGGGGUAGUGGCUUACCAAGGCUUUGACGGGUAGCCGGCCUGAGAGGGUGACCGGCCACAUUGGGACUGAGAUACGGCCCAGACUCCUACGGGAGGCAGCAGUGGGGAAUAUUGCACAAUGGGCGCAAGCCUGAUGCAGCGACGCCGCGUGGGGGAUGACGGCCUUCGGGUUGUAAACUCCUUUCGCUAGGGACGAAGCUUUUUGUGACGGUACCUAGAUAAGAAGCACCGGCUAACUACGUG
rnacentral:rRNA from 1 species